CCUACGGGAGGCAGCAGUGAGGAAUAUUGGUCAAUGGGCGAGAGCCUGAACCAGCCAAGUCGCGUGAAGGAUGACGGCCCUACGGGUUGUAAACUUCUUUUGCCAGGGAGCAAUUGGGUCCACGCGUUGGCUUAUCGAGAGUACCUGAAUAAAAACCAUCGGCUAACUCCGUGCCAGCAGCCGCGGUAAUAAGGAGGAUGCGAGGGUUUUCCGGAUUUAUUGGGUUAAAAGGAUGCUUAGGCGGAAUUUCAAGUCAGCGGGAAAAAUACGGGGCUAAACCCCGUCGUGCCGUUGAAACUGUUGUUCUUGAGUGGGCGAGAGGUAUGCGGAAUGCGGGGUGUAGCGGUGAAAUGCAUAGAUAUCACGCAGAACUCCGGUGGCGAAGGCAGCAUACCGGAGCCCAACUGACGCUGAGGCACGAAAGCGUGGGGAUCGAACAGGAUUAGAUACCCCUGUAGUC
rnacentral:rRNA from 1 species